rnacentral:rRNA from 1 species
CCUACGGGUGGCUGCAGUGAGGAAUAUUGGACAAUGGGCGCAAGCCUGAUCCAGCCAUGCCGCGUGCAGGAUGAAGCAUCUAUGGUGUGUAAACUGCUUUUGUACGGGAAGAAACACCUCUUCGUGAAGAGGCUUGACGGUACCGUAAGAAUAAGGACCGGCUAACUCCGUGCCAGCAGCCGCGGUAAUACGGAGGGUCCGAGCGUUAUCCGGAAUCAUUGGGUUUAAAGGGUCCGUAGGCGGCUUUAUAAGUCAGUGGUGAAAUCCGGCAGCUC